GACGAACGCUGGCGGCGUGCCUAAUACAUGCAAGUCGAACGCAUUUUCUUUCACCGUAGCUUGCUACACCGAAAGAAAAUGAGUGGCGAACGGGUGAGUAACACGUGGGUAACCUGCCCAUCAGCGGGGGAUAACACUUGGAAACAGGUGCUAAUACCGCAUAAUUCCAUUUACCGCAUGGUAGAUGGGUGAAAGGCGCUUUUGCGUCACUGAUGGAUGGACCCGCGGUGCAUUAGCUAGUUGGUGGGGUAACGGCCUACAAAGGCUGCGAUGCAUAGCCGACCUGGGAGGGUGAUCGGCCAAACUGGGACUGGGACACGGCCCAGACUCCUACGGGAGGCAGCAGUAGGGAAUCUUCGGCAAUGGACGCAAGGCUGACCGAGCAACGCCGCGUGAGUGAAGAAGGUUUUCGGAUCGUAAAACUCUGUUGUUAGAGAAGAACAAGGAUGAGAGUGGAAAGUUCAUCCCUUGACGGUAUCUAACCAGAAAGCCACGGCUAACUACGUG
rnacentral:rRNA from 1 species